GCCUUCCUCAAGAUGAGUUUUCCCUUGAAGCCCGUUGAAGACGACGACGUUGAUAGGCGAGGUGUGGAAGCGCAGUAAUGUGUGAAGCUAACUCGUACUAAUUGGCUGAUUGUCUUGACCAUAUAUCCUGAAAUCAUUCAGGG
rnacentral:rRNA from 1 species